GCCAGACUCUGUCUCCAAAAAAAAAAAAACAUGAACAUGGCCAUUCUAAAGUCCUACAGUAUCCAGAUGAGAAACGAGAGAAAGCAUAAGCUUUGGAGUCCAAAGAUCAGGAUUUUAGCGUCAGCACUCCACACCUUAGCUAUACAAUCUCAAAGCAGCCUGCACCUGUGGCCUCAUGGCGCAUUCUCUACAAUCAGUUGACAGAGGAAGAGAAGACUCAGGCCUGGUUUACAGAUGAUUUUGCAUUCUACGCAGAUCUUAUCACAAUGAAUAAUUUGGUCUUGCUCGAUCACCCAGGCUGGAGUGCAGCCUCGACC
rnacentral:lncRNA from 1 species